rnacentral:tRNA from 1 species
GUGGGUGUAGUUCAGUGGCAGAAUGCUUGCUUGGCAUGCGUGAGGUCCUAGGUUCAAUCCUUAGCACAGGCA